rnacentral:rRNA from 1 species
CGGGUGAGUAACACGUGGAUAACCUACCUAUAAGACUGGGAUAACUUCGGGAAACCGGAGCUAAUACCGGAUAAUAUAUUGAACCGCAUGGUUCAAUAGUGAAAGACGGUUUUGCUGUCACUUAUAGAUGGAUCCGCGCCGCAUUAGCUAGUUGGUAAGGUAACGGCUUACCAAGGCAACGAUGCAUAGCCGACCUGAGAGGGUGAUCGGCCACACUGGAACUGAGACACGGUCCAG